GAUGAACGCUGGCGGCGUGCCUAAUACAUGCAAGUCGAGCGAACAGAUGAGGAGCUUGCUCCUCUGACGUUAGCGGCGGACGGGUGAGUAACACGUGGAUAACCUACCUAUAAGACUGGGAUAACUUCGGGAAACCGGAGCUAAUACCGGAUAAUAUAUUGAACCGCAUGGUUCAAUAGUGAAAGACGGUUUUGCUGUCACUUAUAGAUGGAUCCGCGCCGCAUUAGCUAGUUGGUAAGGUAACGGCUUACCAAGGCAACGAUGCGUAGCCGGCCUGAGGGGGUGAUCGGCCACACUGGAACUGAGACACGGUCCAGACUCCUACGGUAGGCAGCAGUAGGGAAUCUUACGCAAUGGGCGAAAGCCUGACGGAGCAACGCCGCGGGAGUGAUGAAGGACUUCGGAUCGUAAAACUCUGUUAUUAGUGAAGAACAAAUGUGUAAGUAACUAUGCACGUCUUGACGGUACCUAAUCAGAAAGCCACGGCUAACUACGUG
rnacentral:rRNA from 1 species